AAAUGUAUAACUUCAGUCUCCUUUGGGCAUGAACAUGGCAAACAUCUCAGAGUGGUUUGAAAAACUUCAUGCUGGAUUUGGGAAUGGAGUUGUUGCUGGUUCAAUUGGCCUUUUUUGGAGAGAGAAAAAGGAACCAUUUUAGUUUAUUGCUCCUGCAAGAGGUAAAUAGCUUUUUUCCUUGUAUUCCUUUUCAUGAUUUUCUUUCAGUUAAUUGAAAAACUAUCUGAAUUGUAUUUUUUCAAAGAGCAAAUCACAUGUAUUCUGACCUUGCUUUCUUGAUACUUGAUUUGGUAGAAGGAGUUUGAGUAAUAGAAACAGAUUAAAUAAC
rnacentral:lncRNA from 1 species